rnacentral:rRNA from 1 species
AACGAACGCUGGCGGCAUGCCUAACACAUGCAAGUCGAACGAUGCUUUCGGGCAUAGUGGCGCACGGGUGCGUAACGCGUGGGAAUCUGCCCUUUGCUUCGGAAUAACAGUUAGAAAUGACUGCUAAUACCGGAUGAUGUCUUCGGACCAAAGUGUGGGACCUUCGGGCCACAUGCUAUCGGAUGCCCCUACGUGGGAUUCGCUAGUUGGUGAGGUAAUGGCUCACCAAGGCGACGAUCUCUAGCUGGUUUGAGAGGAUGAUCAGCCACACUGGAACUGAGACACGGUCCAGACUCCUACGGGAGGCAGCAGUGGGGAAUAUUGGACAAUGGGCGCAAGCCUGAUCCAGCCAUGCCGCGUGUGUGAAGAAGGCCUUCGGGUUGUAAAGCACUUUCAGCGAGGAGGAAGGGUGGUGUGUUAAUAGCACAUCAUUUUGACGUUACUCGCAGAAGAAGCACCGGCUAACUCUGUGCCAGCAGCCGCCGUAAUAC